rnacentral:lncRNA from 1 species
CUGCCGGCUCCAGACAGGUUUGUUUAACCUCUCUGAGCCACCAUUUUCUCAUCUCUCUUAUAGGGCUGGUAACUUCCUUAUAGAGUAAUUAGAACAAAUGUUAUUCUUUUCUGCACAUAAAUUCUUAAAAUGAUUUCCCCUACAUGGGAAAUGUACUGCCUGGCCUUUGAUUUUAUGCUUCUGUCUCGUUUCAGUUGCCUAAAAUAAGACUUUUUUGACUAUUCUAAAUUGACUCCUCUUGACCAGCACUGCUUCAUCCAAGCUGCUGACCUCCUCAUGGCCGACUUCAAAGUGCUCAGUAGUCAGGACAUCAUGUGGGCCCUGCACGAGCUCAAAGGACACUAUGCAAUCACCCGAAAGGGGUUGGCAUCUGCACAUCCUUCCUGGGCAUCUCGUGGGCACUGCUCGAUUACCACCAGGCCUUGCACACCUGCCUCCCCUCCAAGCCCCUCCUGGGCCUGGGCUCCUCUGUGAUCUACGUCCUGUGGAACCUGCUGCUACUGUGGCCCCGAGUCCUAGCUGUGG